GAAAAAUUAGUUUAUCUAAAACAUUAAUUUGUCAAAUUAAAGAAAUUUUUUUAAUAUUUUUCU
rnacentral:tRNA from 1 species